rnacentral:rRNA from 1 species
GUGCCAGCAGCCGCGGUAAUACCGGCAGCCCGAGUGAUGGCCGAUCUUAUUGGGCCUAAAGCGUCCGUAGCUGGCUGCGCAAGUCCGUCGGGAAAUCCACUCGCCCAACGAGUGGGCGUCCGACGGAAACUGCACAGCUUGGGACCGGAAGGCUCGAAGGGUACGGCCGGGGUAGGAGUGAAAUCCUGUAAUCCCGUCCGGACCACCGAUGGCGAAAGCACUUCGAGAAAACGGAUCCGACAGUGAGGGAGGUAGGAAGAGAACACGUCCGGACUUAGAAACCCCAGUAGUCC